GAUAACACUCGGGAUUCCGACGAUGGGCGGAGGAGCUUGUGUUCCUUAAGAUGCGGUUGAACAGGGAGGAGCAGCGCCUCCAAUGGCUCCAUCAAUGAGUAAUGAGGGACACCGUCAUAUGGCCAUGGUUCAGCUUCAUGGUUCUUCGGUUCUGAUGGAUGAUGGUGAGUAGGAUGAACCACCGAACCGAUUGCUUCUUCUUCAUCUUCUCCGGUCAUCGCUGACGCGGUUUCGGUGGUCUCACGGUGGUUAGGGAAGUCCAAGAUGGGUAUAUACAGGCCAAAACGAAGACUAGUAUGGUUUUACUAAGCAUAUAUAGUUGAUUAAUCUUUGAACAAUUAUAUGCGCUUACUGAAAUAGGAUGAUUUUU
rnacentral:lncRNA from 1 species